rnacentral:rRNA from 1 species
ACGGGUGAGUAAUGCUUGGGAACUUGCCUUUGCGAGGGGGAUAACAGUUGGAAACGACUGCUAAUACCGCAUAAUGUCUUCGGACCAAACGGGGCUUCGGCUCCGGCGCAAAGAGAGGCCCAAGUGAGAUUAGCUAGUUGGUAAGGUAACGGCUUACCAAGGCGACGAUCUCUAGCUGUUCUGAGAGGAAGAUCAGCCACACUGGGACUGAGACACGGCCCAGACUCCUACGGGAGGCAGCAGUGGGGAAUAUUGCACAAUGGGGGAAACCCUGAUGCAGCCAUGCCGCGUGUGUGAAGAAGGCCUUCGGGUUGUAAAGCACUUUCAGUUGUGAGGAAAAGUUAGUAGUUAAUACCUGCUAGCCGUGACGUUAACAACAGAAGAAGCACCGGCUAACUCCGUGCCAGCAGCCGCGGUAAUACGGAGGGUGCGAGCGUUAAUCGGAAUUACUGGGCGUAAAGCGCACGCAGGCGGUUUGUUAAGCUAGAUGUGAAAGCCCCGGGCUCAACCUGGGAUGGUCAUUUAGAACUGGCAGACUAGAGUCUUGGAGAGGGGAGUGGAAUUCCAGGUGUAGCGGUGAAAUGCGUAGAUAUCUGGAGGAACAUCAGUGGCGAAGGCGACUCCCUGGCCAAAGACUGACG